rnacentral:rRNA from 1 species
GACGAACGCUGGCGGCGUGCCUAAUACAUGCAAGUUGAGCGCUGAAGGUUGGUACUUGUCCCAACUGGCUGAGCAGCGAACGGGUGAGUAACGCGUGGGGAAUCUGCCUUUGAGCGGGGGACAACAUUUGGAAACGAAUGCUAAUACCGCAUAAAAACUUUAAACGCAAGUUUUAAGUUUGAAAGAUGCAAUUGCAUCACUCAAAGAUGAUCCCGCGUUGUAUUAGCUAGUUGGUGAGGUAAAGGCUCACCAAGGCGAUGAUACAUAGCCGACCUGAGAGGGUGAUCGGCCACAUUGGGACUGAGACACGGCCCAAACUCCUACGGGAGGCAGCAGUAGGGAAUCUUCGGCAAUGGACGAAAGUCUGACCGAGCAACGCCGCGUGAGUGAAGAAGGGUGUCGGAUCGUAAAACUCUGUUGGUAGAGAAGAACGUUGGUGAGAGUGGAAAGCUCAUCGAGUGACGGUAACUACCCAGAAAGGGACGGCUAACUACGUG